GCUACUCUGACUCGUGUGAAAGUGGUAUUCAAAAUAUUUAACAAGCUAUAGGCAAGGUCACCAGCUGUCAUGGGAGUGCCUUCAAGAUGGUCCCCAGUGAUUUGCACCUUCUGAGACCAGUGACAGCUUCCACCUAGAUUGGUAACAAAUGGCUCUGAGAACUGCUGACAACAUCUUUAAUCCUUUCCACUAGAUAAACUGGGAAAAUUCGAAAUAUUUUCAAGGUGGCAACUUCUAGAUUUUAAAUUUCUUUUUAAAGAAACACUUCCAACUAACUAAAACUUGUUUUCUAUCCUCAUUAUCUAUGUCUUUAAAGAAAAAGUGUCACUGAGCAUCUUGGCACAUGAUUUUCAGCUGGGACUCAUUAUCCUCUUCAAGAAUUUUUUCUCUUUCCUAGUAGAUCUCUGAAGAAGUGAACAUAUUAGAAAGUACAAACUACUGUAAUUUUUUUAUUUUUAAAACAUGUUUGGGGAAGGCUUGCUACAGUCUGAUCUAAGAAGAAAAAUAAAAUUAUACUUGAAGUAUCUCAUGAUGCAAACCAUUUCUGGCAAAUUUGUUUUGGAUAUAGCUCUUGUCUCAAAUUCAGCAAAAUUCAUUUGGGUUAAGUUUUACACUAAAGCACAGUAAAUGUGUUGUUAGUUUUUCAUUUUACAAAUCACAAAAAUUCUGCUUGAUUUGAGUGACAAAAUAGUUAACUAAUAUAUAAAAAGCAUUUUCACUGGAACUGGAGCAGAAGAUACUGUUACCUCUACAAAUAGGUGUGGUUUUAACAAAUGGCAAAGACAAUAAAGAAAACACAGAAGCAGUGUUUCUAUUUUAAAUUUUACUUAUUUUGAGAACCCAUGGGAUAAAUUACAACAGCCUUUGGGAAAGCAAAAUCAUCAAAAUUAGGGAUGGAAAAAAUUAAAUCAAUGAUGAUGUAAUCUAGACCCUUGAUGAUACAGGAGACUCCCUUAAAAAUUCUGCCUGCAUGCAGUGUCGGUUGUAAUGCUUUAGGCUAGGAGAAAUUUCUCAAUCUGACUUGUGCUUUUACAAAUUUAUGCUUUCUGCUUAUUUUUAUUUUACUUUCUGUCAUAACUUCCUUAUUUUCCUUAGGAAAAAAAGAGAAAAGAGGCCUUAAUAGCCUAGUUUCAGUCGAUUUUUUUUUUUUUUACAAUAGUCAUGUUGAAAGCAAAGCAUGCCAUUUUCUUUUAUAAAAUAAUUCUGCUGGCAAACUUCCUAGCUAAAGUUCUCAGUAAAAUAGUAAAUCAAAUAGUAUCCACAUACAGGAAGAAAAGUUAUAAAUCUCCUGAAUUAUAGAGCUCUCUACACUGCAAACUUUCAAGAAGAAUUAUACCUUUUUUAACAUAGUGUUUUUUGCCUCAUCAGAAUUCUUAGAAAAUAAAAAUAUAUUACGUUUGAAAUACACAUGUUCAAUCAAACUUGUGAAAAUUAUUUUAUUUUAAUGUAUUGUUUGCCCUAAUUAAGAUACCUAAUUUAUUAAUUUAAGGAAUAAUUAAUUUAGUAGCCAGAAAUGGUAUUUAGGAUUGCUAUUAAUCUAGCCUGUUUCAACAUGAGUAUAGAGUAUGAAGACUCAGAUUACAUAUUUUCAAAAUAUGAAGUGGACCUGCACAUUGUCAUUUAGUUCAUAAACAGACAACACCUUAAACCAUUAAUUUUGAGCAUGACUUUUCCCAUUCCAAAAAAUACUAGGAAAUGAAAAACAAAAAUGAUGUUGGUAUCAUUUUUUGAGAAGUGUUAAUGAUAAUAGUUAAAUAUUUUGGAACUAUCAAGAGCUAAAUUUGGUUUAUCACUUAUGAAAAUAGUUAUAACUGGCAGCAUAAUAUCAAUGAGUAGAUAUUUGAGUGUCAGUACAGACAAGAUUAUCAACCUGAGCUGCACACUAAGCACAAUUAACUGAAAAACAAAAGUUCAACCAGAGUACGCUGGUCUGAUGCUGAGAGUUGUUCUGUAAGGCUUCAAGUUAUGAUCAUUUAAGAAUAGUUUCAUGAAACUAACUUAAAUAGGUAGUUUUUUUAAAGUGAGAAGAAUGAAAUGAUUAAUUUGAAGAAAAAUUAUAUGCAGUAUUAAUAAAAUAUGAAAGUAUUUUGCUGAAAGACUCAUGUAGCUGAGCUUCUGAAAUAUAUCUUUGAAUUACCAGUGGACAAGCCCAUAAAGAGAUAGUUGUUUUUGAAGAUAUUGUCACUAAGGAAUAGCUACCCAAAUGAAAUUGUAGGCAUGCAAAUAAUGAUGUGAAUGAAGACAUAACAGAAAUAAGGCCAUGCCAUUUCUCACAGCUACUGCCAAAGAGAAACUCUGUUGAAUUAGUUAUUUUUUUCAAUUGUAGCUAACGUACUAAAACACUGAUAUUCUUAGAAUCCUAAAACUUCGACUUGAUUUCUGGCUUCAUCAGUAAUUGACAGUGUAAUCUUUCGUAAGUCCUUGACUGUCACUUUUGAUAGAAGGUAAUAAUACCUAUCUCAGAAUGUUCUUAAGAAGACUAAAUUUGAAAAUAUCUAAAAGCAUAUAUUACCUGAAGAAAAUAAAUUUUAAGUGGUAAAAAAAUAAACAUGAGUGUUUUAACCACUUAAAAUUUAUUUUAAGUGGUUACAAAUAAUCACUUCAAUGAAGUCAUCACUUCAUGAGUGAUUUCUAUUUUUUUUCCAUUCAUCAUUCAACUGUAAUACAAGAUGAUCUAGCACAUUGUGUAAUAUUUUAUUGGUGACUGUUAAAUAGAAGUCUGGUAGAGAUUUGAAAGAUUUCAGAAGAAGCAAAUAUAAUUUUUAUUCGUUACAUUUUUAUCCACACUUUAAUAUUCCUGCUUUAUAUUUGUAAAAUCUAAAAACAGUUGUCUUGAAUUUUCAGCCAGAUAUCUAGGAAGCCCAGAUGGUUUCCUAAGCUUAUAAAAUAAGCAUUUAGCUACUCUAAACUAUCUUUUCUAUGAAGACUUGGAAUGAAAUGAAAUUGUAAGCACACCUGUUUCAUGUCUUUUGCCACAUAUAACCUAGAAUGAAACUCUUUAACCAAUAGAACACUGCUGAUGAAUUCUGCUAAGAUACAGGAUUUUUCCUUAAUGUCGUUAGGAAAGCCAAGAUAUGAGUGUCAUUUAACAUAAUUUUAAUUUAAUUUUUUUUCAGCUUUAGAAGGAAAUGAUAGUUUUCAAGAAAUGAAUAUUUGUGAUAUUUUUAUGGGGUUAACAUGCUAGUUCAAAUAUCUUGAAUUUUAGAAUCUAAUAUAUGUCUUGCAGCCCAUCACUCAUUAUCUUAACUGUACCUUAUUGCUUGCCUACAUACAAUAUAAAACAGAGAUGUAAGAAUUGGUUUCAUAUAGAAAGAAAUACAAGCGUAAUUUUUAAAUUCUUUAUUAAUAGGCAAAGUAACAAAAGCAUGAACAACUUCUGCAAAACUUUCCCAUGACACAGGCUCUUUUCUCAUACCACUGGCAGCUAAAGUGAAAAUCAGGUAACAACUCACAGCAACAGGGAAUCAUACUGGCCUAAAAUGCUGGUCAGUUGUGGGAAUAUCUCUAGAAAA